rnacentral:misc_RNA from 1 species
UCGGAAGGUGCGGCUGGAUCACCUCCUUUCUAAGGAGCACUUAGCGUCAACGGCCAGCGUAUGCCUGGCCUGGCGCUCAUGCUGCCUAGUGGAGCACUGGCUAUUCAUCCGGUUCGCCGCCAGCUGGCGGCGGCUAGUACGCCCUGCUUCUUUAACGAGAGCGCGGGGAUGGAACGGGCCGCUCGCGGUAGCGCCUGGAUGAGCACGCUGUUGGGUAUCUGAGGGAACCGGGCACGGUGCCGUGAGGCGCCCCGGGGUCUUCGGUUAGGGCUGGGUUCCCGUGGUCACGGACGUGGCUGCGGGGCCUUGUGCCGUCCGUAUCUUGAGAACUGCAUAGUGGACGCGAGCAUCUUCUUCUGUAGAAGUGUGUCUGUAGUGAAUUUGCUAAGUUACUAAGGGCGCAC